CUGAGGUCUCACGCAGAGCUCCAACCCACUUCGGCUUGGAUUUUCCACUCUCGCGGUGCCUGCAGGGAUCACAAGCCCAGGAAUGUUGGAAGAGGCAGGAAAGCUGACUCUGGCCUGGAGGAAGAGGGCAGCCCUGCCCACACCACGUUUUACUGGCCUUUCAGCCUGUAAGCAUUAAGAAAUGAACAUAUAUAUUUCUUUUUUACUGAUUGUUUUUCUUUGAAGAAUUGCUUUCCUUCUUUCUUUUUUUUUAUCAUUUGUUGAAUUGACCACAUUAUCUUUGUUCUAUUGGUUUUUCUCAUUAAUGUUCUGCAG
rnacentral:lncRNA from 1 species